rnacentral:rRNA from 1 species
AUUGAACGCUGGCGGCAGGCCUAACACAUGCAAGUCGAGCGGAUGAAGGGAGCUUGCUCCUGGAUUCAGCGGCGGACGGGUGAGUAAUGCCUAGGAAUCUGCCUGGUAGUGGGGGAUAAUGUCCGGAAACGGGCGCUAAUACCGCAUACGUCCUGAGGGAGAAACUGGGGGAUGUUUGGACAUCACGCUAUCAGAUGAGCCUAGGUCGGAUUAGCUAGCUGGUGGGGUAAAGGCCUACUAAGGCGACGAUCCGUAACUGGACUGCGAGGAUGAUCGGUCACCCUGGAACUGAGACACGGACCAGACUCCUAAGAGAGGGAGCAGUCGGGAAUAUUAGACAAUGGGCGAGAGUCUGAUCCAGCCAUGCCGAGUGUGUGAAGAAGGUCUUCCGAUUGUAAAGCACGUUAAGUUGGGAGGAAGCGCAGUAAGUUAAUACCUUGCUGUUUUGACGUUACCAACAGAAUAAGCACCGGCUAACUUCGUG